rnacentral:rRNA from 1 species
UGGGGAAUAUUGCACAAUGGGCGCAAGCCUGAUGCAGCCAUGCCGCGUGUAUGAAGAAGGCCUUCGGGUUGUAAAGUACUUUCAGCGGGGAGGAAGGGAGUAAAGUUAAUACCUUUGCUCAUUGACGUUACCCGCAGAAGAAGCACCGGCUAACUCCGUGCCAGCAGCCGCGGUAAUACGGAGGGUGCAAGCGUUAAUCGGAAUUACUGGGCGUAAAGCGCACGGAGGCGGUUUGUUAAGUCAGAUGUGAAAUCCCCGGGCUCAAACUGGGAACUGCAUCUGAUACUGGCAAGCUUGGGGCUCGUAGGGGGGGGUAGAAUUUCAUGUGUAGCGGGGAAAUGCGUAGAGAUGUGGGGGAAUACCGGGGGCGAAGGCGGCCCCCUGGACAAAGACUGACGGUCAGGGGCGAAAGCGUGGGGAGCAAACAGG